GAUGAACGCUGGCGGCGUGCCUAAUACAUGCAAGUCGAGCGAACGGACGAGAAGCUUGCUUCUCUGAUGUUAGCGGCGGACGGGUGAGUAACACGUGGAUAACCUACCUAUAAGACUGGGAUAACUUCGGGAAACCGGAGCUAAUACCGGAUAAUAUUUUGAACCGCAUGGUUCAAAAGUGAAAGACGGUCUUGCUGUCACUUAUAGAUGGAUCCGCGCUGCAUUAGCUAGUUGGUAAGGUAACGGCUUACCAAGGCAACGAUGCAUAGCCGACCUGAGAGGGUGAUCGGCCACACUGGAACUGAGACACGGUCCAGACUCCUACGGGAGGCAGCAGUAGGGAAUCUUCCGCAAUGGGCGAAAGCCUGACGGAGCAACGCCGCGUGAGUGAUGAAGGUCUUCGGAUCGUAAAACUCUGUUAUUAGGGAAGAACAUAUGUGUAAGUAACUGUGCACAUCUUGACGGUACCUAAUCAGAAAGCCACGGCUAACUACGUGCCAGCAGCCGCGGUAAUGCGUAGGUGGCAAGCGUUAUCCGGAAUUAUUGGGCGUAAAGCGCGCGUAGGCGGUUUUUUAAGUCUGAUGUGAAAGCCCACGGCUCAACCGUGGAGGGUCAUUGGAAACUGGAAAGCUUGAGUGCAGAAGAGGAAAGUGGAAUUCCAUGUGUAGCGGUGAAAUGCGCAGAGAUAUGGAGGAACACCAGUGGCGAAGGCGACUUUCUGGUCUGUAACUGACGCUGAUGUGCGAAAGCGUGGGGAUCAAACAGGAUUAGAUACCCUGGUAGUCCACGCCGUAAACGAUGAGUGCUAAGUGUUAGGGGGUUUCCGCCCCUUAGUGCUGCAGCUAACGCAUUAAGCACUCCGCCUGGGGAGUACGACCGCAAGGUUGAAACUCAAAGGAAUUGACGGGGACCCGCACAAGCGGUGGAGCAUGUGGUUUAAUUCGAAGCAACGCGAAGAACCUUACCAAAUCUUGACAUCCUUUGACAACUCUAGAGAUAGAGCCUUCCCCUUCGGGGGACAAAGUGACAGGUGGUGCAUGGUUGUCGUCAGCUCGUGUCGUGAGAUGUUGGGUUAAGUCCCGCAACGAGCGCAACCCUUAAGCUUAGUUGCCAUCAUUAAGUUGGGCACUCUAAGUUGACUGCCGGUGACAAACCGGAGGAAGGUGGGGAUGACGUCAAAUCAUCAUGCCCCUUAUGAUUUGGGCUACACACGUGCUACAAUGGACAAUACAAAGGGCAGCGAAACCGCGAGGUCAAGCAAAUCCCAUAAAGUUGUUCUCAGUUCGGAUUGUAGUCUGCAACUCGACUACAUGAAGCUGGAAUCGCUAGUAAUCGUAGAUCAGCAUGCUACGGUGAAUACGUUCCCGGGUCU
rnacentral:rRNA from 1 species